GAUGAACGCUGUCGGCGUGCCUAAUACAUGCAAGUCGAGCGAACGGACGAGAAGCUUGCUUUUCUGAUGUUAGCGGCGGACGGGUGAGUAACACGUGGAUAACCUACCUAUAAGACUGGGAUAACUUCGGGAAACCGGAGCUAAUACCGGAUAAUAUUUUGAACCGCAUGGUUCAAAAGUGAAAGACGGUCUUGCUGUCACUUAUAGAUGGAUCCGCGCUGCAUUAGCUAGUUGUUAAGGUAACGGCUUACCAAGGCAACGAUGCAUAGCCGACCUGAGAGGGUGAUAGGCCACACUGGAACGGAGCCACGGUCCAGGCUCCUACGGGAGGCAGCAGUAGGGAACGUGCGGCAAUGGGCGAGAGCCUGACGGAGCAACGCCGCGUGAGUGAUGAAGGUCUUCGGAUCGUAAAACUCUGUUAUUAGGGAAGAACAUAUGUGUAAGUAACUGUGGACAUCUUGACGGUACCUAGUAAGAAAGCAACGGCUAACUACGUG
rnacentral:rRNA from 1 species